AUGGUGACCAAGAAUCCACCAGGGAGGACAAUAGCUGCACGUCCAAGGCAGCCUGCAGGCUUUUCUGAAUAUGAGAAGGAAAGAGCUCAACAUAUUAUGAGGAACAACCAAAUAUUUCAAAGACUUGGGAUCGGUCAAUUGGCAUCACUACUUAAGAAUGUAAGUGCAAAUGUGGAGGAUGAUGGUCCUCAAAAAUCAGGAUCCGAGUACAGUCCACAUGACAAUGAGGGGCUUGAGGAUGAUGAUGAAGUGAUCAGCAAGAGUGUCAAAGUAUCUUCUCAAGGAACACGAGGAU